GUUACAUUUACAUAAUGGCUAAUUAUGGCCAUAAAUAAAGUAUAAAUGUUAUCACUCUUGGAAUGCUUUUAAUAGUUUCAUUUUGAGGCUAUAUAAAGCUAUGUAUGUUAUAUUUG